UUGCAGAGGGCGCUUUGGUGUUGGCAGCGGUCCAAGUUCUUUGGAACAGGACGUCACAGAGGGUGAGAAUCCCGUACGUGGUCGCUAGCCCUCACCGUGUAAAGCCCCUUCGACGAGUCGAGUUGUUUGGGAAUGCAGCUCUAAAUGGGAGGUAAAUUUCUUCUAAAGCUAAAUACUGGCCAGAGACCGAUAGCGCACAAGUAGAGUGAUCGAAAGAUGAAAAGCACUUUGGAAAGAGAGUCAAAUAACACGUGAAAUUGUUGAAAGGGAAGCGCUUGCAGCCGGACUUGCCUGUAGUUGCUUAUCCGGACUUUUGUCCGGUGCACUCUUCUGCGGGCAGGCCAGCAUCA
rnacentral:rRNA from 1 species